GACGAACGCUGGCGGCGUGCUUAACACAUGCAAGUCGAACGGAAAGGCCCUGCUUUUGUGGGGUGCUCGAGUGGCGAACGGGUGAGUAACACGUGAGUAACCUGCCCUUGACUUUGGGAUAACUUCAGGAAACUGGGGCUAAUACCGGAUAGGAGCUCCUGCUGCAUGGUGGGGGUUGGAAAGUUUCGGCGGUUGGGGAUGGACUCGCGGCUUAUCAGCUUGUUGGUGGGGUAGUGGCUUACCAAGGCUUUGACGGGUAGCCGGCCUGAGAGGGUGACCGGCCACAUUGGGACUGAGAUACGGCCCAGACUCCUACGGGAGGCAGCAGUGGGGAAUAUUGCACAAUGGGCGGAAGCCUGAUGCAGCAACGCCGCGUGCGGGAUGACGGCCUUCGGGUUGUAAACCGCUUUCGCCUGUGACGAAGCGUGAGUGACGGUAAUGGGUAAAGAAGCACCGGCUAACUACGUGCCAGCAGCCGCGGUGAUACGUAGGGUGCGAGCGUUGUCCGGAUUUAUUGGGCGUAAAGGGCUCGUAGGUGGUUGAUCACGUCGGAAGUGUAAUCUUGGGGCUUAACCCUGAGCGUGCUUUCGAUACGGGUUGACUUGAGGAAGGUAGGGGAGAAUGGAAUUCCUGGUGGAGCGGUGGAAUGCGCAGAUAUCAGGGGGAACACCAGUGGCGAAGGCGGUUCUCUGGGCCUUUCCUGACGCUGAGGAGCGAAAGCGUGGGGAGCGAACAGGCUUAGAUACCCUGGUAGUCCACGCUGUAAACGGUGGGUACUAGGUGUGGGGUCCAUUCCACGGGUUCCGUGCCGUAGCUAACGCUUUAAGUACCCCGCCUGGGGAGUACGGCCGCAAGGCUAAAACUCAAAGGAAUUGACGGGGCCCCGCACAAGCGGCGGAGCAUGCGGAUUAAUUCGAUGCAACGCGUAGAACCUUACCUGGGUUUGACAUGGAUCGGGAGUGCUCAGAGAUGGGUGUGCCUCUUUUGGGGUCGGUUCACAGGUGGUGCAUGGCUGUCGUCAGCUCGUGUCGUGAGAUGUUGGGUUAAGUCCCGCAACGAGCGCAACCCUUGUUCACUGUUGCCAGCACGUUAUGGUGGGGACUCAGUGGAGACCGCCGGGGUCAACUCGGAGGAAGGUGGGGAUGACGUCAAGUCAUCAUGCCCCUUAUGUCCAGGGCUUCACGCAUGCUACAAUGGCUGGUACAGAGAGUGGCGAGCCUGUGAGGGUGAGCGAAUCUCGGAAAGCCGGUCUCAGUUCGGAUUGGGGUCUGCAACUCGACCUCAUGAAGUCGGAGUCGCUAGUAAUCGCAGAUCAGCAACGCUGCGGUGAAUAAGUUCCCGGG
rnacentral:rRNA from 1 species